GACGAACGCUGGCGGCGUGUCUAAUACAUGCAAGUCGAACGCAGUGGGGACGGGUGAGUAACACGUGGGUAACCUCCCAUCAGAGGGGAUAACACUUGGAAACAGGUGCUAAACCGAUUCUGAUGGAUGGACCUGCGGUUCGUUAGCCGGUUGGUGAGGUAACGGCUCACCAAGGUCACGAUGCAUAGGCUACCUGAUGGGGUGAUCGUCCAGACUGGGACUGAGACACGGCCCAGAGUCUAGCGGGAGGCAACAAUAAGCAAUCUGCGUCAAGUGACGAAAUUCGGACCAAGCAACGCCGCGUGAGUGAAGAAGGUUUUCGGAACGUAAAACUCUGUUGUUAGAGCAGCGGUAACUAGCCAGAAAGCCACGGCUAACUACGUGCCAGCGGCCACGGUAAUUA
rnacentral:rRNA from 1 species